rnacentral:lncRNA from 1 species
GUUCACUGGAAAAUGUAACAAAUAAUUUCAAGGUUAUGUCACUCUUGGCAAGCACAGUAACGCUGGUGAAAAAAAGGGAAGUUUUCAGAGCAAGGCAAAGACUGAAAUCUUGUUUGGAGCCACCAGUCUACAAAGCCCGCAGUGGAACCAUAGUGCUCAGAUUCACAGGGGUCUCUGAUGCUCCCAGAUAUGGAAUGCCAACUGACUCUAAGAAGGAUUUUAAUAUGGAUCAAAGGGCACGUGGAUCUUCAGGAAGAAGGAAAGGAGGACAGAAGUUUCGACCUCUCAAGCAUCCCACCUCUUUUUCAUGAGUCUCAAAGAAGACCCUCUGUUUAACGAGUCCCCGUCUAGCUUCCUCUUUGCAAGAAUGGGCUAUAAAGACAGUGGAGGAUCCCUUCUGCAGGGGCUGGAAUUCAUACAACAGGAGGCGCUGUCAGCAGCAGUCGAGCCUGCCUCUUGGAAUCACGUCUGUCUCACCCCCGGCAGCCUCGUGCCUCAAAGGCUGGACCAGUGGCUGUGCCCUGGGUCUAGUGCAGUCCGGCUGGUGAGCGGCCCCUGCCAGGCCCCGAGGAGUGACACCUUACGUCUACUGAGCUCAGCCUUCCAGAUUUUAUCAUGCUGUUCGAGUGCACGGAGAUGUGAGGGCUGGAGAUGUGGGGGCUUCAGUUUCUGCGUUUUGGCCUCUUCAAUCAGCUGCUUGCUCUCUCACCACUGCCACAACCAGCGUCUCCACUGGGAGCCUCCGGAGCGGACCGCGCCUCCGGAGCAAGAGCUGUGA